rnacentral:rRNA from 1 species
GACGAACGCUGGCGGCGUGCUUAACACAUGCAAGUCGAACGGAAAGGCCCUGCUUUUGUGGGGUGCUCGAGUGGCGAACGGGUGAGUAACACGUGAGUAACCUGCCCUUGACUUUGGGAUAACUUCAGGAAACUGGGGCUAAUACCGGAUAGGAGCUCCUGCUGCAUGGGGGGGGUUGGAAAGUUUCGGCGGUUGGGGAUGGACUCGCGGCUUAUCAGCUUGUUGGUGGGGUAGUGGCUUACCAAGGCUUUGACGGGUAGCCGGCCUGAGAGGGUGACCGGCCACAUUGGGACUGCGAUACGGCCCAGACUCCUACGGGAGGCAGCAGUGGGGAAUAUUGCACAAUGGGCGGACGCCUGAUGCAGCAACGCCGCGUGCGGGAUGACGGCCUUCGGGUUGUAAACCGCUUUCGCCUGUGACGAAGCGUGAGUGACGGUAAUGGGUAAAGAAGCACCGGCUAACUACGUG